CUCAGUCCAUCCCCAUAGCUCCUGGGUCCUACACAACCAAAUGUCCAAGAUCAAACUCCAAACUGAUUGUCACCAACCCCACCAUCCUCCACCUUUCUUCUGGUUGCAUGCCUCUUUAUAUCACUUCUUUCCUGUGUGCCUGGUUUUAAAUCAAGACACUUUUCCUUUUUUCCACUGGUAUUGUUUUGUGUCCUUUAGUUAUACCACAUGGUUGUAAAGACUCAUACUUAGUCUUAAUAUCUAGAAGUGUACAUCUUUUAGUUUGCUUUUCCUGGUGUUUCUCUUGCACUUUGGGCCAUCACGGCCUCCUUAGCUCUCUACCUACUUUGUCUCCCCCCCCCAAUACUCUUGUCAUUUGUCUCUUCCAAGAAACAUUGUGUCUCUCUAGAUACACCUCUUUGUCAUAUUCUGGGCCUGUUUUGGACAAGUACUUAAUCCAAGACCUGAUACCCCAGCUUUAUUCACAACUUCUCACCACACGUAUGUAUGAAUGCCUCUGAGGCAUUGAAUCUUUUACAAAUUUUUCAAUCCGGUGAGCUUCAACAUUUUUCAUGUUCACUCUUCAUCCUCAGGACCACCUUAAUUCCUGUGAAACCAUGUACCCCAGGUAUCUUGUACCUUCUGGGCCCUAUGUCUUUAUGUUCCUUGGCUUUUUACCCAUGUGUGCCUACACCUAGUCAUGCCAAUGAGCUUUUCCUGGAUACUUAAUGAACUUUGUCUGUGUCCUCUACAUUAUAGGAUUUGCACAAUCAAAUUUCCCAAUCCCCCUAUUCCCCAUGUUCUUAUUUAGUACCACUUCAAUCUAAUACCAGUUUACUGUUACUACACAAAACAUACCUGCAUUUAUACCACAGGUUUUCACCUGUAUGAUAAAUCUCACAGCAUUUGUUAAGGUGACAUAUUGUAAAUAGUGUCCUUGCAGGAUUGGAGGGAUUUAUAAUAAUUGAAAGGGUUUUUGUACUGUGUUCACCCAUCAUACUUGCUGCAGAAUUAAUGUUAGCAGCCCUGGCACAUCUUAGAGUUACAGAUAUGUUGGCUUAAGCAGGUCAAACCAUCUUAUCCUGUUGCUGUCAUUGGUGAGUGAGAAUUUUUCUGCAUUUUUUAUGGAUAUUGUUUUGUUUCUCCCUCCUGUCAGUAAGAGGUAAAUAUUGGUAGAGCAUAUUUAUUCACAAAAUUAUGAUAUGAAUUGACAUCCAAUUAUGCAAAUGAGUCCAAUUAAUUAACCCAUAUUUGUGCAGAUGAAUUCAGUGACUUUCAAAGUGAACAACUAGCAUCACCUAAAUUUCUCUAAACAACAAAUUCUAUGAAAUAUAUGGAUUCAGAUGACUGAAAAAAUCCUAGUAUUUCAACUUUCAAAUGCCACACAUGUGUCAGUUUGCAUGAAUGUCUCCUGUUAUAAAUAUCAUUCACUAACCUUGCUUCCUUGAAACAAAUUUACUUAGGUAUUAAUUAACUCACAUUUUUAUCUUCUUAAAUCAGUGAAUAUUUGCUUCUGCCAUACAGUCUUUCAUGUUUUAUGUUCCAAAGCUGAGGAUAUAACCUGGGAAUGUGGCACAAUUACUGUGAUAGCACUUGUUUUCCUAACACACAAUAAAUGAGUCAGGGUGUAGCUCUACAGAUGUG
rnacentral:lncRNA from 1 species